ACGGCGAGUGAAGCGGCAACAGCUCAAAUUUGAAAUCUGGCGUCUUUGGCGUCCGAGUUGUAAUUUGCAGAGGGCGCUUUGGCAUUGGCAGCGGUCCAAGUUCCUUGGAACAGGACGUCACAGAGGGUGAGAAUCCCGUACGUGGUCGCUAGCCUUUACCGUGUAAAGCCCCUUCGACGAGUCGAGUUGUUUGGGAAUGCAGCUCUAAAUGGGAGGUAAAUUUCUUCUAAAGCUAAAUACUGGCCAGAGACCGAUAGCGCACAAGUAGAGUGAUCGAAAGAUGAAAAGCACUUUGGAAAGAGAGUUAAAAAGCACGUGAAAUUGUUGAAAGGGAAGCGCUUGCAGCCAGACUUGCCUGUAGUUGCUCAUCCAGGUUUCUACCUGGUGCACUCUUCUAUAGGCAGGCCAGCAUCAGUUUGGGCGGUUGGAUAAAGGUCUCUGUCAUGUACCUCUCUUCGGGGAGAACUUAUAGGGGAGACGACAUGCAACCAGCCUGGACUGAGGUCCGCGCAUCUGCUAGGAUGCUGGCGUAAUGGCUGUAAGCGGCCCGU
rnacentral:rRNA from 1 species